rnacentral:rRNA from 1 species
CUUAUGCAUGCAAGUCGAGCGAAGCUUUUCAGUAGUUUACUACAGAAAAUGACUGAGCGGCGAACGGGUGAGUAACGCGUGAGCAAUCUACCUUAGUUACAGGGAUAGCCCGAGGAAACUCGGAUUAAUACCUGAUAUUCUUUAAAUUUCGCAUGAAAUUAAAAGGAAAGGUCAGCCGAACUAAGAUGAGCUCGCGUUCUAUCAGCUAGUUGGUGAGGUAAAAGCUCACCAAGGCAACGACGGAUAGCUGGUCUGAGAGGACGAUCAGCCACACUGGGACUGAGACACGGCCCAGACUCCUACGGGAGGCUGCAGCAGGGAAUAUUGCGCAAUGAGCGAAAGCUUGACGCAGCGACACCGCGUGUAGGAUGACGGAUCUAGGUUUGUAAACCACUUUCAGGAGGGAAGAAAAUGACGGUACCUCCACAAGAAGCCCCGGCCAACUACGUGCCAGCAGCCGCGGUAAUACGUAGGGGGCGAGCGUUGUCCGGAUUUAUUGGGCGUAAAGAGCUCGUAGGCGGUUCAACAAGUCGGUCGUAAAAGUUCAGGGCUCAACCCUGAAAUGUCGAUCGAUACUGUUGUGACUAGGAUACGGUAGAGGUGAGUGGAAUUCCGAGUGUAGCGGUGAAAUGCGUAGAUAUUCGGAGGAACACCAACUGCGAAGGCAGCUCACUGGGCCGCUAUCGACGCUGAGGAGCGAAAGCUAGGGGAGCAAACAGGAUUAGAUACCCUGGUAGUCCUAGCUGUAAACGAUGGAUACUAGACGUAGGAACUGGAUUGACGGUUUCUGUGUCGUAGCUAACGCGUUAAGUAUCCCGCCUGGGGAGUACGGUCGCAAGACUAAAACUCAAAGGAAUUGACGGGACCCCGCACAAGCGGCGGAGCAUGCGGCUUAAUUCGAUGAUACCCGUAGAACCUUAUCUGGACUUGACAUAUAGGGUCAAGCUAUAGAGAUAUAGUGUGCAUUA